rnacentral:rRNA from 1 species
CAAUAGCGUAUAUUAAAGUUGUUGCAGUUAAAAAGCUCGUAGUUGGAUUUCUGGUAGGAGUGACCGUGCCAGACUUGAUUGUCUGUGUAUUGUGUUGUCUCCAGCCAUCCUUGUGGAGAACUUUUCUUGCAUUAAUUUGUAGGGAUUGGGACCCGCAUCGUUUACUGUGAAAAAAUUAGAGUGUUUAAAGCAGGCAAUCGCUUGAAUACAUUAGUAUGGAAUAAUAAGAUAGGACUUUGGUACUAUUUUGUUGGUUUGCAUACCAAAUUAAUGAUCAACAGGAACAGUUUGAGGAUAUUCGUAUGAACAUGUCAGAGGUGAAAUUCUUGGAUUUUGAUCAGACGAACUACUGCGAAAGCAUUUAUCAAGGAUGUUUUCAUUAA